rnacentral:rRNA from 1 species
CAGUAGCCGCGGUAAUACGUAGGGUGCGAGCGUUAAUCGGAAUUACUGGGCGUAAAGCGUGCGCAGGCGGUUGUGUAAGACAGGUGUGAAAUCCCCGGGCUUAACCUGGGAACUGCGCUUGUGACUGCACAGCUAGAGUAUGGCAGAGGGGGGUGGAAUUCCACGUGUAGCAGUGAAAUGCGUGGAGAUGUGGAGGAACACCGAUGGCGAAGGCAGCCCCCUGGGCCAAUACUGACGCUCAUGCACGAAAGCGUGGAGAGCAAACAGGAUUAGAUACCCCCGUAGUCCCUGUCUCUUAUAC